UACGAAGGGGGCUAGCGUUGCUCGGAAUCACUGGGCGUAAAGCGCACGUAGGCGGAUUGCUAAGUCAGGGGUGAAAUCCUGGAGCUCAACUCCAGAACUGCCUUUGAUACUGGCGACCUUGAGUCCGGGAGAGGUGAGUGGAACUGCGAGUGUAGAGGUGAAAUUCGUAGAUAUUCGCAAGAACACCAAUAGCGAAGGCAGCUCGCUGGGACGUUACUGACACUGAGGCGCGAAAGCGAGGGGAGCGAACAGG
rnacentral:rRNA from 1 species